CGUAUUGGGAAAUGCGCCUGCGACUAAA
rnacentral:rRNA from 1 species